AACGCACAUUGCGCCCUCUGGUAUUCCGGAGGGCAUGCCUGUUUGAGCGUCAUUUCUCCCUCAAACCCCCGGGUUUGGUGAUGAGCAAUACGCCAGGUUUGCUUGAAAGUUAGGAGGAGUAUUUAUAACAAUGUAUUAGGUCUAACCACUCCAUUGUGCUUAAUAAAAGCUCCAAUCUAUAUUUCAAACUUCGACCUCAAAUCAGGUAGGAUUACCCGCUGAACUUAA
rnacentral:misc_RNA from 1 species